rnacentral:ncRNA from 1 species
AAAGUGGCGUACGCAACAGCAAUGGACUGGUUCAUUGCCGUCUGCUACGCUUUU